UCUACAAAUCUCUUAUGAUCCAGAAACCAUCUUCAAAGCAAACAUCUCAGGAGAAUACAAUUGAAGGAGCCCUAGCCACAGUUUUGUACCUAAAAAUGAUGGGCUUCCCCCUGAAACGGGUGAAGGCCUAAGCCUGGACCCCUGAGGAUUCACAUAAUCGCAAGAAGGAGGGUUCUCAGGGGUUCAGAGGACCAGGCGGGAAAGCGAGCAGGACCCCAUGGACCAGGCGGGAGAGUGAGCAGGACCCAUGGACCAGGCGGGAAAGCGAGCAGGACCCCAUGGACCAGGCGGGAGAACAAGCAGGACCCCAUGGACACUGGCUGCUCUCCAGCUCCGCAGAGAACCACACCCAUCUGACCACCACCUCCUUCCCAACCUUCACUGCACCCCAGCCUCUGGAAGCUUCAGUGAUCCAUCCCUGACAGGAAGCCGAGGGUUCCUGAGCCAAGCGAGCGAGUUUCUGAGCCACUCUUGUGAGUCAAGUCUCCAGAGAGAAUCUGGACCUCUCUUCAUUUCAAAAGGCCAGAGUUGAAAUUUGGACAGAUACAGAGUGUGAAGAUUCAUCUGCAAACUAAGGAGCGAUAUAAUCCCAUGGCAACUUCCAAGAGCCCUCGACUCCACCACUGAAACUACAAACAAAACAACGGAAAAGGUGCCACACGUGCUCAUUAAUAUU